AACGAACGCUGGCGGCGCGUUUUAAGCAUGCAAGUCGAACGGCAAGGAGAGUAGCAAUACUUUCCCUAGAGUGGCGAACGGGUGAGUAACACGUAGGUGAUCUACCCCUGGAUGGGGGAUAGUCCGUGGAAACACGGGGUAAUACCGCAUGAGGCCUUGGGGGUAAAGCCCUGAGGUGAAAGCUCCAACUGGAGCGUCUGGGGAUGAGCCUGCGGCCCAUUAGGCAGUUGGCGGGGUAAAGGCCCACCAAACCGACGAUGGGUAGCCGGCCUGAGAGGGUGUGUGGCCACACUGGAACUGAGACACGGUCCAGACUCCUACGGGAGGCAGCAGCUAAGAAUCUUCCGCAAUGGGGGAAACCCUGACGGAGCGACGCCGCGUGGACGAUGAAGGCCGUAAGGUUGUAAAGUCCUUUUGCGGGCGAAGAAUAAGGCGGGGAGUGGAAAGCCCCGCUGAUGACGUUAGCCCGCGAAUAAGCCCCGGCCAAUUACGUGCCAGCAGCCGCAGUAAUAC
rnacentral:rRNA from 1 species